GCAACAGGUCUUUCGGCAUUUCUGUUUCGGCUUUCCUCCUGAUUGGGAAGAAUGUGGAACCAAGUUUCUGAAUAGUAACUGUGAAAGCGCGGCAGAGCCUCCGGUGUCUCAAAAUGAAUGCCGGCCUAUUUUCUUAUCAUUGCCAGUAGAUGAUGGCAUUAAUAAUUUGAAGAAUGAUGACUCAAAGAAUCUUUCACCACUAUCGAGAUGUCGUGUAAAUGAUGUAAGUUGGGUGAAAGAUAGUGUGGUGGUACCAGCAAAACCUUCUGGUCACCAUGUGGAUGUGGCACUAUCUUCUGAAAAGAUAGGCAGCAAGAAAAGCAAAACCAUAUCUUUUGGAAAGUUGAUGGCUAAAAGGUCAAGUAGUUUAGAAAGAAUCAGCUUCAAGAAUGAUGCAUCGGGGGAAUGCUCAGCACUCACGGAUUAUAAUGUGGGCAAUAUCACUAAAUCAAACUUUGACCAGACACUGUCUGUUAGAACUUCAGGUGUGGUACUGGCUGUAUCCUUAGAAGUGAUCUCGAGUUCAAAGUAAAAGAAAAGGGAAAAUGAGGGAAACCAGGAUGGACUGAAGAGAAGUGAUUUCUCAAUGCCAUCUUUGCCUCAAGGCCCUCAGGUUAUGCUAAGAUGCAUUGAAAAUAAUACUACACCAGGGCCGUCUCUUUCUAGAUCUCCGACUCGGGGAGAUUCUGAUAUUUUAAAUCAAUCUGAUAAAUGUCUCGUGGAAAACUCUGUGUUUUCCAGCAUGCGGUCAGGUGCGGAAGCAAAUAUCAUUAGUCCAUCCAUGGAAGAAACAGAGGCAUUGGAUGCUAAUCUCAUUGAUUCUGGACAUAGGAAAGGCACUGCCUCUGUGACAAAUCUGAUAAAUAUACCGAUACAGAAAUCUGUCUCUGGACAUUCAGUGAGGUACAAAGCCAAAAGGUUGAAAUCAGUUGAAGGUAAACCGAAGAGAAAUUCAGGCACAACUCUUGAUAUAGCAGAGGCAAUGUUGAGAGCUUCAACAAAGAUGAAUACACUGUCAGGAAAUUCAAAAAGUAAAGAGUAGAAAGAAACAAUAGCUGUUGAGAAAGGAGGUUUGUCCAUGAAGCAAGCUAGAAGGAAAGUUAUUUUUGAUGCCGAUGGAGACUACUUUUACCUACCCUAGAUUUCUGGCGCAACCAAAUUGCAGUUUAUGAUGAGGUUAUAUCUCUGGGGUUGAAUCUAAGACUCAGAAGAGC